GAUGAAGAACGUAGCGAAAUGCGAUACUUGGUGUGAAUUGCAGAAUCCCGUGAACCAUCGAGUCUUUGAACGCAAGUUGCGCCCGAAGCCAUCAGGUUGAGGGCACGUCUGCCUGGGCGUCACAUAUCGUUGCCCAAUGCCUAUUGCAGUGCAAUAGGAAUUUCUAGGGCGAAUGAUGGCUUCCCGUGAGCGUUGUUGCCUCGCGGUUGGUUGAAAAUCGAGUCCUUGGUAGGGUGUGCCAUGUUAGAUGGUGGUCGAGUUAGAACGAUACCGAUCAUGUGCAUGCUCCCCAAAAUAUGGCCUCUAUGACCCACACGCGUCUUUUGACGCUCAUGACGAGACCUCAGGUCAGGCGGGGCUACCCGCUGAAUUUAAGCAUAUCCAAUAAGCGGAGGA
rnacentral:misc_RNA from 1 species